CGUAGCAGUCGUAGCAAGCCUAGCAAGCGUAGCAGUUGUAGCACACUUUGGUUUGCUUUUUGUUUUUAUUUUUCAAUGUGAGAAUUGAACAAGAGCAGCGUGGCCCCUUACCUCCAAAAGCAAGAUGGCUGCGGCAUGUGCUUGAUUCAGGAUUUUGGUCGCAAAUGCUCUGUUACGUUUCUCGUGUGGUAACCAAGCGAACACCAAAGAUUAUGUAUUGUUUGCAUGCCGCAAGUUAUUAAAGGUGCAGACAGUCAGUAUACAUUCAACAAUGCAAAGGCUAAAAGCUAACAUCCUUGAAAAGAUAGCCGAGGAAAAAGACCCGAUUCUUACAUGGCUGCACCCUAAAGUUACUGUCAAGAACAUCGAAGGGAUGAAGGUUCCAGGCAUUGCGCUACUGUCAACUGCUGUCGACAGUUUUGUCGAUAUUUCACAUACAGAAUUCAAAUAAUUGCAAAGUACGCUUGUACGGGAGCCGGGGACAAUAGGGAUAUACUUCGGCAAAGACAGGGAAUGCACCUUGGAGCAAAUGAUUAAAAGGAAACAGGUUUGCCAGAAAAGAGCAUACCGAAUUUUUCUGGGGAAACUGAUGCCAUUCACGCAACAUAUGAUAGUGUAUGCUAGUGGAAUUCGGGAUGAUGCCCCCAAUGAGAGUGAUAUGGAAGAAAUCAACAAUCCAGCAACAACAAUAUCGGACGAAGGUUGCGAAAGCUUGGACACUCUCGAAAACGAGUUGAGGAUAAAGUUAGAAGCAUUUAAAAAUAUUCAUGUCAUGCAAUAUCGCGAAAAUACAACUGCACCUACAGAAAGUGAAGAGGAGCUCAACUUCAGUUUUACAGAGAAACUUACACCGAACACAAAGGCUAGAUAUAACAACCUGACUCCAAGAAAAAGGAAAACAUUUGCUUGGGCCAUUGAAGUCGCGCAAAAAAUAAUAAAGAGACCCG
rnacentral:lncRNA from 1 species